rnacentral:tRNA from 1 species
GCCGCCUUAGCUCAGUUGGUAGAGCAUCUCACUCGUAAUGAGAAGGUCGUCAGUUCGAUUCUGANUCUCACUCGUAAUGAGAAGGUCGUCAGUUCGAUUCUGACAGGCGGCU